rnacentral:rRNA from 1 species
GACGAACGCUGGCGGCGCGCCUAACACAUGCAAGUCGAACGGAGUUACUCUGAAUGAAGUUUUCGGAUGGAUUUUGGAUUAACUUAGUGGCGAACGGGUGAGUAACGCGUGAGUAACCUGCCCUGGAGUGGGGGACAACGGCUGGAAACGGUCGCUAAUACCGCAUGACAUAUUCGAGUGGCAUCACUUGGAUAUCAAAGGAGCAAUCCGCUGAAAGAUGGGCUCGCGUCUGAUUAGAUAGUUGGUGGGGUAACGGCCUACCAAGUCGACGAUCAGUAGCCGGACUGAGAGGUUGAACGGCCACAUUGGGACUGAGAUACGGGCCCAGACUCCUACGGGAGGCAGCAGUGGGGAAUAUUGCACAAUGGGGGAAACCCUGGAUGCAGCAACGCCGCGUGAAGGAAGACGGUUUUCGGAUUGUAAACUUCUUUCUUAGUGAAGAAGCAAGUGACGGUAGCUAAGGGAAU